rnacentral:piRNA from 1 species
UAGAAAGUUGGAAACCAGAAAGUUCUUUGC